rnacentral:rRNA from 1 species
AUUGAACGCUGGCGGCGUGCUUAACACAUGCAAGUCGUGCGGUAACAGGCGUAGCAAUACGUGCUGACGAGCGGCGAACGGGUGCGUAAUACAUGGGAAUCUGCCUUUUAGUGGGGAAUAACCCGGCGAAAGCCGGGCUAAUGCCGCAUAAGAUCUUCGGAUGAAAGCGGGGGAUCGUAAGACCUCGCGCUGAUAGAUGAGCCCAUGCCGGAUUAGCUAGNGGUGAGGUAACGGCUCACCAAGGCGACGAUCCGUAGCUGGUCUGAGAGGACGGCCAGCCACACUGGGACUGAGACACGGCCCAGACUCCUACGGGAGGCAGCAGUGGGAAUAUUGGACAAUGGGGGAAACCCUGAUCCAGCGACGCCGCGUGUGUGAAGAAGGCCU